GAGCGCUUCAGCCAAAAAGCAAGCGCGGUAUACAGCUCAGUAACACGUGGCUAAUCUGCCCUUAGGAUAGGAACAACCCCGGGAAACUGGGGCUAAUUCCCAAUAGGCGAAGAACUCUGGAAUGAGUCUUCACCCGAAAAGAGCUUACGUUAUGCGCGUAGGUCUCGCCUAAGGAUGAGGCCGCGACCGAUCAGGUUGUUGGUGAGGUAAUGGCUCACCAAGCCUUUUACCGGUGCGGGCCGUGAGAGCGGGAGCCCGGAGAUGGGCACUGAGACAAGGGCCCAGGCCCUACGGGGCGCAGCAGUCGCGAAAACUUUGCAAUACACGCAAGUGUGACAGGGCUAUCCCGAGUGCCAUCCGCUGAGGAAGGCUUUUACCCAGUCUAGAAAGCUGGGGGAAUAAGGAGAGGGCAAGUCUGGUGUCAGCCGCCGCGGUAAUACCAGCUCUCCGA
rnacentral:rRNA from 1 species